rnacentral:rRNA from 1 species
UACAGAGGUCUCAAGCGUUGUUCGGAUUCAUUGGGCGUAAAGGGUGCGUAGGCGGUGAUGCAAGUCUGGUGUGAAAUCUCGGAGCUCAACUCCGAAAUUGCACCGGAUACUGCGUGACUCGAGGACUGUAGAGGAGAUCGGAAUUCACGGUGUAGCAGUGAAAUGCGUAGAUAUCGUGAGGAAGACCAGUUGCGUAGGCGGAUCUCUGGGCAGUUCCUGACACUGAGGCACGAAGGCCAGGGGAGCAAACGGG